CCUGGUAGCCAUAGCGGAGAGGACACACCCGAUUCCAUUCCGAACUCGGCCGUUAAGCUCUCCAGCGCCAAUGAUACUCCGGUUUUAACCGUGGGAAAGUAGGUCGCUGCCAGGA
rfam:Desulfohalobium retbaense DSM 5692, complete genome.